ACUCUUGGCAUUAGUUCCAGAGUUUUAGGGCUCCUAUUGAGGAAGUCAUUCAUGUGCCUAAAAAGUGGUGGAUUGACCAUGAAUUUUCUUUUAGAAAUUACAUGAUUUUAAAUCUAUGUCCAAGGUGUUUGGUCCAUUGUGAUUGAAUUUUUUGUAGGGUGAGAGAUAAGUGUCUAGCUUCAUUCUCCUCAUGUGGAAUAACCAGUUGAACUAGCACCACUUUUUAAAUAGGGGUGUUUUAUCCAAUGUGUGCUUUGACAACAUUGUCAAGGAUCAGGUGACUGUAGAUAUAUGGUUUUGUCUCUGUUUCUUCCAUUCUGUACUCUUGGUCUCUCUGUCUGUAUUCAAACCAGUACCAUGUGGUUGUUGUUUUUAUUCAACUGGUUUCUUUUGCCAUAUUGUUCCCCCAUGAUAUUCUGCCUGACUCUGGACCAGGGCUGUGGAGUCAGCUGUCUAUGGACCGAGUUCUCUGCAACUUCCAGUCAAGUAAACUUUUCCCCCUCUAUAUUGUUCUUGCCAGCCCUAUUGGUCAGAGGGAUGAAAAAGGUUAUGAAAACCCUAUUGUAGUAGCUUUACUUUUUGGUUGUAGGUUUGAAUGGAAAGGAAAAGAACAGUGGAUUUCUCAUGGAGAUCAGUUGUAUUUGAAGACAAUCUUUGCAGAAUAUAGUUUUGAGUGCAGGAAAAAAAAAAAGGUCCCUAACACUGCAACCAGGAACUAAAUCCAUGUUGAAAUAUCCUGGGAGGACUGGGAAUUCCCAAGGCUGCCACCUAGUGGUGAGGAAUGCCCUCAAACACUACCUUGAUAGUGGGGAUACAGAAUGGCUCUUCCCUAGUGUCUUCCUAAGGGACCCGGAGGGAGAGGACAAGUUGUACCAAUACCCUUGCUGACAUCACAGUGAUGUGUCACUACUCCUGCUAUGGCACAUGGAUCAGUGUAACUUUGCCUACACGAGUGACUAUUUGGGAAUCACUAGGCUAAUUAUUAGUUUCUUUGAAACUGCUCUGCAGCUAGGUUGUUGUUUUCUGAAAGCUAACUCUAUGGUGUUUAAAGAGGAAAAUUCAAUAGAGAUAAUUGGGUGGACCUAUUGCAAUAUGAUCAGUAGCUUUACAGUAGAAAGAGUUUAUAAAGAGAUGUGAGCAGGGAAGACCAUGUAGAGACACAGGGAGACAGGCAUAUACAAGGGAGGAAAGCAGGUCUAAGAAGAAACAGACCCUGCAGACAUGUUGAUAUCACAACCCUAGACUCUAGCAUCUUGACCAGCGCUGCCAAAUACUAGGUUUCAGUAAGGGGUGAUGGGAGAUUGGAAGAAAUCAAGAGCAAUACUUGCAGAUCUUGAAGAUAAAACAGCUGUGGUCAGAUGGAGCGCUGCUCUCUGAUGGAGAAUUACACCAGCAAUCUUUAUUAUAUAUGUCUCUGAAUCAGAUUAAG
rnacentral:lncRNA from 1 species